rnacentral:piRNA from 1 species
UUGAAACCUCAAAGCUUGCCACCAGUGACA